UAGAAAGAUAAGCUAACUAAGCUAGUGGGCCCAUACCCCGUUUAUGAGGGUAUAAAACCCCUCUCUUUUUAA
rnacentral:tRNA from 1 species